rnacentral:lncRNA from 1 species
UUUUUGGUGUGUCGAUGAAGACUCAGCUCGGCUCCAUUUCUUCCGUUUUGCUAAGGUGCUAUGGUAAGGCAUCUUCUUAUUUUGUUCGGUGAUCAGCAUAGAGCCAGGAAAUCAGAAGUUUUGGUUUUUUCUGACCAGUGACUCCUCCUGCGGCAGAGUGGAGCUGUGGCGAUCAAGUAUUCUCUUCGCAGUUUUUCCUUGUUCUUAGUCUUGAGCAAAGAAGUGUCGUGGUUGACAACUCCUGCGUUAAAUCUUCAUUCUCUCGGCUAUGUAAUUUGAGCGGUGAUCUGUGGAUUCAGGAGCCAUCUCGAUGGAGUGCGUGGAACUGAAUUCGAAUUGAGGUAUUUGCUGCAUGCGAUUCUAGUUGUAGAAUUCACAACUCACCGAGCUUGUUGCUCGUUCUUGCGGAGUAAGGUGCUUUGGGAGAUUGUCUAAGGAGAAUGAGAAGGGGAAAGGGAGGGCGUUAGGGGGUCAUUGCAGUGAGUGGUCAUUCUUUACGAUAGGUGUGACUGCGGGGUAUUCUUCAUACCGUAAAGU